rnacentral:misc_RNA from 1 species
GCAAGAAACGGGGUGCCUCGAGCAAAAGUUGAUAAGGGCAAAAGUGCGUGUGUGUGAGCGCGCGGGGAUGAUGCGGCUCGAUGCGGCGCGCAAGCGCGACGGGUGCAGAGCUUUCGAGCCACGCGAUGGUAGCAGUCGACCGUCUAAAACCGCGAAACACGUCCCGGCGUUCUCGAGGAAGAGGUAGUACGCGAGACCGCCCGUUGUCGUGUGUCGGGAAAGGGCGGUAAACUUUAGAGUUUCGCACGAAAAUGCGAGCAUGAACGAAAAGCCAACGAGUGCUAGAGGGAGUGUCCGAACUUUCGACAUUAUCCCCCCGAUUAUGUCACCGUUUUGCCCACGCGUUGCUUCGAAUAUCGCGGCUGGGAGGGGAAGCGCCGUUCCGUCGGACAGAUAAGCGACGAAUAUCGAGCGAGUUGAAUUGAGCGCGAAGCUCAAGCGAGCGAGGAUACAGUCGAGAUCGCGGGUGGAAAUCCUUGUAAAACCGCGGCUGCGGCCCUCACCUCCUACCCCUCCCCCCCCCCCACAGCGGCGGCUUCGGUGGAAUCAUUAACGAUUUGCGGUACUUGGAGACGGAGUCAAGAUGAGAAAGCGGCCGAGAAGAAUCGGGGGUCGAACGAGCGUAGCGAACGAGCCGAGGUGCAGCGGCGAAGCAAUGACGUCCAGCCGGCGUCGUCCGACGAACAUGAAGAACGUCGAGAUCGUCGUCUCGGGCAAUCGCGUAUCGGGGUGAUCGCGGCCGGCUGAGAGGAGCGUCGUAGUGGUACGGCUGCGCACGGCGAAACAUGAACGACAGCGAGAUCUAUUUACUGAGCUGGGAAGACGAGGUACACGCAACAAACAACGACGAUCUCGGCAGGAGCUUUUACAACGCAAGCUAUCCGCCGUUCAACAGCAGCUACGAGAAUCUCUGGGAACUCGCGACUGAUCGCGCCGGACUCGCGAUCGUUCUCCUGCUCUUCUCCGUAGCGACCGUCUUCGGCAACACGCUGGUGAUAUUGGCGGUGUUCAGGGAACGGUACCUGCACACAGCGACCAAUUACUUUGUAACCUCAUUGGCCUUCGCCGAUUGCCUGGUCGGCCUGGUGGUGAUGCCGUUCAGCGCGGUUUACGAGGUGCUGGAGAACCGCUGGCUCUUCACGACCGACUGGUGCGACGUGUGGCGCUCGUUGGACGUAUUAUUCUCCACCGCGUCCAUCCUGAAUCUGUGCGUCAUCAGUUUGGACCGUUACUGGGCGAUCACCGAUCCGUUCACGUAUCCGACGCGGAUGAGCCGGAAACGCGCGGCCAUCCUCAUCGCGAUCGUGUGGAUCUGCUCGAGCGCGAUCUCCUUCCCGGCGAUCGCCUGGUGGCGGGCGGUGCGGACCGAACAAGUGCCCGAGGACAAGUGCCCGUUCACGGAGAACCUCGGCUACCUCAUCUUCUCGUCGACAAUCAGCUUCUACCUGCCGCUCUUCGUCAUGGUGUUCACGUAUUACCGAAUCUAUCGCGCCGCCGUGAUACAGACGAGGAGCCUGAAGCUCGGUACGAAGCAAGUGAUGAUGGCCUCGGGCGAGCUCGAGCUCACUCUGAGGAUACACCGGGGUGGUGGUACCAACACCGACGCCCGCCACCUCUUUCGAACCACUUCGAGCACGCCCGAGGAGCUGCAGGAUCUCGAGGAGCCGCUAACCGCGCUUCACAACAACGGUCUCACCCGGGUGCCGUCCGCGAGGCACACCAUCAACAACAAGCAACACCUCGGUAAAAACUUCUCCUUGUCGCGCAAGCUCGCCAAAUUCGCCAAGGAGAAGAAGGCGGCCAAGACUUUGGGCAUCGUCAUGGGCGUCUUCAUCAUCUGCUGGCUGCCGUUCUUCGUCGUGAAUCUAUGGUCGGGAUUCUGCACGAGGUGCAUCUGGCAGGAAGAGAUAGUAUCCGCGGCCGUCACAUGGCUCGGUUGGAUUAAUAGUGGAAUGAAUCCCGUGAUAUACGCUUGCUGGAGCAGGGACUUCCGUAGAGCUUUCGUCAGAAUUCUAUGCGUUUGUUGCCCAAGACGAAUGAGACGGCGGUAUCAACCGGCAUUCAGGUGUAAACCGAGUCAGAAAUUCGCAUCCGGACGGUACUACUCCGCGUAUUCGCUACAUCAUGUUCGGGGAAGUCGAGAAACUUCCGGCGAGCAAACCUACAUUUAACAACGGAAUAUCAUCACGCCGCGAGCUGGUCGUCGAUCGUUGAUCACGGACGGAAUCCCACGAAGACCUUAUUUUCUGUUUUCGUUUACGUCGCUCUCCCCCCUUUGUCUUUAGUGCAGCAUAUAGUUCAACAGCCAGUAAAACUAUACUGGUGACCCUUCCCUCCCCCCCGCCCCCCGAGUAACCACGAUCCCGUAUCCGUUUUCCAAAAACCCUCAAGUAUCAAAGAUCAACGAACGUCAACGAAUAUCAACGCAUUCCCCUAGAGUAUAAGCUCUCGUAUAUUUCCGGGAUGGGAACGGGCGGGCAGGCGAGCAACGUGAGCUACAGCAGCGUCAGUCA